UGUCUUCAAACCAGGAAGUCAAUCCUCUGCCUCCCCUUCAGAGAAGUUUUGUGCUUCCAUCUGCAAACAUCUCUGUGUCAGAUAUCUCUUGACCUUCGCCGGGGAGUUCAAACAACCAACAAAAAAAAAAAAAGUUACGAGUGAGCGGGACUGAGCUGGAAGGAGGAAGAGGAGCGUGAGAGUAAAGAACGGGACGUCCAGACUUAUCCUGAAGGGACUUUUAAAGGAAACGGCUCGGACAUUGUGAAGAACAAGUUUGGUUUGGAAGAGCAUUCACACAGACUUUGACGAGUCUCCGCAGCAGCAGCAGCAGACUACAACCUCUUUCGCUCCUGGGUGCUGGUACCUCAGAUUUAUCCACCGAUAUUUCAAAAACUCAGAUGAUUCCAUUCGAAAAUCAUCAGGAUCCGUCGAGCCAAGGCCCAGAGAUGACUCACAACCUUCAUAAUAUCCCACAAUGUGCUUCUCUUCAUGCCAGCAGUCGUUUUGUGAGAGUAGGUGUGAUUUUUUUUUUUUUUUUUUGUUUUUUCUCAGAGUUGGACGUCUUUUUUUUUUUUUUUUUUUUUUGCUUUGGAGCGAAGCCUCUUCAUGUCCUCGCGCGAAUAAAAAUGAUGAAAGGCAGCGUUCGGUUUAUUUUUACAACUUUGGAUAGAAAGAGAGAAAGAGAGAGAGAGAGAGAGACUGAAAGAUGCUUCUCCUCUCUCACCCUUUUAAUCUUUGUAAAAACUUUAUCGACACCGCCGACGCAGGCAGCGAGACACAAGACUGAGAGGAUAAUGCCCAGUCGCAUGUUUGUUGACUGUCGUUGACAUAGAAACUGAUCUCGGGGAUAUAUCGCAAAGACUGUUGGAGUAUCAAUCACACACACACACACACACACACACACACACACACACACACACAGAAGGGUGCCCAGCUCUCGCCAAAGAACAAGGUUGGCUGAGUCUCAUCGCAGCCGCCUUGAAGUGUGUGUUUUGGUGUGUGUGUGUUUGAGUUUUAUGGUCUCAACUUGAAACAAGCCAACAUUAUGUUCCUGAUGUGUGUGUGUGUUUCUGUGCAUAUGUGUGUGUGUGUGUGUGUGUGUGUGUGUGUGUGUGUGAUGGAAACAAGUUUAUUAGUAGGUAUGAAA